rnacentral:lncRNA from 10 species
CGGCUAGUAUCGCGAGAUCAGGAAGGUGGCCGAGUGUGUCGCCGCGGCCAUCAGGGGGGUUAUAGCCAUGUGACUGAUCUUCGUCCAAGAAUAUGUAAAGAAAAAGUGUUGAGUUGGCUUUUAGGGCUAGAGCAAUGUAUCUUAGGCUCACUUAAGGAAGCUGUAGAGAUGAGCCCAAGGAGGGAAACCAGAAGAGCCCCCCAGGCUCACCAGUUGUUUGUUGGCUCCCUACAAACAUGUCAUUCAAGUGGCUAAUCUUACAACAGCACAAAUUCAUCUAACCAGAAAGAGAAGAGGAGGCUCCAAAGGCACUUGACUACUGAGCAUCACCCUGGACGUGUACAAGUCUGCGUCCUUAUUGUUUUCUUCAUUGGGCCGAACUUUCUGGUCCUCAUCCAACAGCUCUUCUAUCACGUGUUCGAAAGUGUCAGCCAAUGAUGUCAAGCCUCUUGAACCUGCCUUGGGCCCAUUCACGCUCUCCAGAGUCCCAUGGGUCCGCACACCUGGAGAUACUCUAUUAUAGCAAAGAAGAAAGAUAAUUUCAUUGAGCCAUCCUGUUUUACAGUAUUGAAUUAUUACCACAAGGUACCAACCAUAUAUGCAUACUUAAUAGGGUAUUUUGUCAAAACUAUGCAUGAAGGUCAUUUGUUUGAGAUGUCAGAACAUUUUCCCGUGAGAAGAUCUCAUUGGGCAUUGAAACAGAACCACAUGCUCUUCAGACCAGCAACCGCGACUACCAAAUACUCCUCUGUCAACUCUACUUGACACCCAACAGAAUCCCUUCAAAGCCUCGUGGUCUGACACCCUAUGCUACGUGACUUGUGACCCAUCCAUUUGUCAUGUUCUUCGGGAAUGUGGCUAAGGGGCUAAGAUGUGACUUGAAAAGAAAGGUAGAACAAGAUCAUCUCAAAUUUAUUAUCAAGGAAUAGUUCAGAAAACGACUUCAGACCACAGAGACAGCAGAACAGAUGGUCCGGCAUGGAUAGAGCAUCAGACACUCACAGACUGUGCCAACAAGAGCCAUCGAGUCAAAACAGCCAAAGGAAGGAGGGUCAUGGAAUGGGUUCUCUCACACCAAACUGAUGCCCAGAGGCCCUCAGCAUGAAUAACAAAGGCAACCAGACCCACAAGCCAUACUGAGUGGAUACAAAACCUAUACCUAGGCUGACAUCCCAAAUGUGUGUGGCAAGUUAGAUGAUGAUGGCACAAAAGACAGAACACCUUGCUUCUGGCCAUUGUCAGCUCUUGGAAGAGAGCACACUUUUAGAGGAGCAGCUGCAAGGAGCCUGAGAACAAAACUGGAAAUGUCUGUUAUGAAAGCCUUCACAGGAAAUUCUGCAAGUGGCAACGUGGGUCCAUUCCGUGUGUGUCACUAGAGCUGGCGCAAGCCCAUGGCCAUGGUGAGGCAGCGUUUCCACUGGAACUAAUCUGAUACCUGCACCAGCUCUUGCAACUGUGCAGUGUUCCCACUGCAAACUACGGAUGGGGUAAAAGACUGCUCACCUCCUAUUUCUCAUCUAAUCUCACACACUCUGUUUGAUGAGGCUAUGGAGAAACAGGUCUUCUCAUACACUAAAGGUGGGAGUACAAACAAUUCAAGCCCUGUGCAGGACAAUUAGGCAAUACCUAUCAAAAUUAUACAUGAUUUUUCCUGCUGACCCAGCAAUUCCACUUCUGGGAAUAAUUGACAGAUAUAGGUGCAUAUGUACAAAAUGAUGGAAAGCUCUCUGGUAUAUAUUAGUAAGUGAUAAAACAAGGUGUAAAAUAGUGUAUAUAUGGCUACUACCUUUUGUUUUAAAAAUGGGGGAAAAUGGUGGAGCUUGCGGUGAGCCGAGAUCGUGCCACUGCACUCCAGCCUGGGCGACAGAGCGAGACUCCGUCUCAAAAAAAAAACAGGGUGGGGUGGGGGGGAAAUAAUAGUACAUACUCAUAUUUACCUGUAUCUAUAUAAAACACACUAUCAAGGAUUCACAAGAAACUAAUACAAAUGAUCACCUUAUAGAUGGUAUGUAUUGGGGGAUACUGAGGUGAGCAGGGUAUAAGUGGGGCAAGACUUUUCAGUGUAAACUUCUUUUAAAUUUUAUUUUGAUUUUUGAAUAAUGUAAAUUAACUGUCAAAUAAUUAAAUUAAAAAUAACCAAUUUAUUAACAAAA